CUGCGAGGCAGGCGACAGAACCACUGAGCUAAAUCCCCGACCCUCGUCAUAGUUUUUCAUGUGGUCCUCAAAAACACUACACAUCUGGAGUAAGACUGUUCAUGAACCUGGGCAGCCAAUCUGACAUUAUCUCUUCUGAGUUAACUCAAAGGACAAUUGACUCUCCUUGGGGAAGAAAUGGAACCUAGGAAUGGCAUCUUCUGCUUAGUGGUAACUAGGGUAAUACUUUGGGAAUUAGAAAGCAAUUGCAUAUGUAGAAUCAAUCAAAAACAAUGUUAAAAUAUAAGUAUUGAGAGCAUUCUUAUAUGGUUUAUAAUAUGGUCUUCCUAGAUAUAUACCUAAAAAUAUUGAAAGUAUAUAUUCACCAAAAGGCUCUUACAAAAAUUUCAUAGCAACUUUAGUUACAAUAGCUCUACACCAGAAUCAACUCAAGUAUCCAUCCAUGGAACAAGGGAUAAAUGAACUGUGAUAUAUUCAUAAAAUAAAAUGCACAACAAUAAUAGAAAACAAUUGUUUCAUAUAAUAACAUGGAUGAGUUUCAUAGACAAAAUGUUAAGCAAAAGAGUAUAUUUUUCUAUUAAUAUGAAAUUCAAGAACAGAUUAGUCAGUAGAAGUCAUAGUAGUGAUUAUGAGGGGCUGGUAUUGACUGGAAAGGGACAUGAGGAGGCUUUCUGGAAUCUUCUUUGUCUUGACCUGAGUGAUAGUUAAAUGGAUGGAUGAAUAGUGUAAAUUAAUUACACUUUAGAUUGGUGUGCUAUACUGUAUAUAUUUUAAAUUUCAAUAAAACUUGAGUGGUAUGAGGUAAUAAUAUAAAAAAACUCAAGUGGUAAUUGUUGUCAAGGAUGUCAAGAAAAGGAAACCCAUGUAUACUGUUGGUGGGAAUAUAAACUAGUACAGCCAUUAUGGAAAAAAUUACAGAGGUUCCUCAAAACAUUGGAAAUAUAACUACCAUAUGAUCCAGCAAUCCCACUUCUAGGUAUAUAUCCAGAGGAAAUGAAAUCAACAUCUCAAACAUAACUACGCUUUCCCACUUACUGGCCCAUUAUUCAUAAUAGCCAAGAUAUGGAAACAGCCCAAGCAUUCAUCAACAGAAGAAUGGAUAUAGAAAAUUGGGGGGGGG
ensembl:lncRNA